rnacentral:rRNA from 1 species
UACAGAGGGGGCGAGCGUUAAUCGGAAUUACUGGGCGUAAAGCGCACGUAGGCGGCUUGGUAUGUCGGGGGUGAAAUCCCCGGGCUCAACCUGGGAACUGCAUCCGAAACUGCCUUGCUAGAGUAUGGGAGAGGGAAGUGGAAUUUCCGGUGUAGCGGUGAAAUGCGUAGAUAUCGGAAGGAACAUCAGUGGCGAAGGCGACUUCCUGGACCAAUACUGACGCUCAUGUGCGAAAGCGUGGGGAGCAAACAGG